rnacentral:rRNA from 1 species
AUGGAGCCGACCUUGAAAUACCACCCUUUAAUGUUUGAUGUUCUAACGUUGACCCGUAAUCCGGGUUGCGGACAGUGUCUGGUGGGUAGUUUGACUGGGGCGGUCUCCUCCUAAAGAGUAACGGAGGAGCACGAAGGUUGGCUAAUCCUGGUCGGACAUCAGGAGGUUAGUGCAAUGGCAUAAGCCAGCUUGACUGCGAGCGUGACGGCGCGAGCAGGUGCGAAAGCAGGUCAUAGUGAUCCGGUGGUUCUGAAUGGAAGGGCCAUCGCUCAACGGAUAAAAGGUACUCCGGGGAUAACAGGCUGAUACCGCCCAAGAGUUCAUAUCGACGGCGGUGUUUGGCACCUCGAUGUCGGCUCAUCACAUCCUGGGGCUGAAGUAGGUCCCAAGGGUAUGGCUGUUCGCCAUUUAAAGUGGUACGCGAGCUGGGUUUAGAACGUCGUGAGACAGUUCGGUCCCUAUCUGCCGUGGGCGCUGGAGAACUGAGGGGGGCUGCUCCUAGUACGAGAGGACCGGAGUGGACGCAUCACUGGUGUUCGGGUUGUCAU